CUUUGAAAGACUGGAAGCUUUUUGGUAACGUCCACAAAUUUUGCAUCUAAAGUUUUAAAAUGGAGAAAAUAAACAUCACAGCAGAGACAGAAGUUUCUUCUGAUAAACCAUCUUGUAAUGAACCAGCAAAUCCCAAGUGUAAUGAAUGUGGAAAGAUGCUUAAUCAGGAAAGAGAAAUAGAUUCCAUCCUUGAGGCACAACAGGAACUGAAGGUCAAAUUGGAAAAAAAGGACCUAAUGUUGCAGCUAAAGGAAGAGGAAAUCUCUUACCUUACAUUUUUACUGGAUGAGAUGGAAAAAGAAUUAGAUAUGAAAAAUAGCCAGUGGGAAGACAGCCUUGAACUUAAACUGGAGGAGCUACGUGAGAAGGUCCAGGCUCAGAAGAAGCAGUUGGAUGAAGAAAAGGCUGCUUUGUUGGACAUUACUAACGAGCUUCAGAACAAAGAACAAAUGUUCUUAAAGCAGAAAGAUGAACAACAAUUAACCAUUUCACAUUUGGAGGCCACUCUGAAAAUGAAGGAUGAUGACCUAAAAAGCCGCACAGACCAAUGGAACCAACUGGUGGAGAAUGAAAAAGCUGUGAAAGCAAUCACAGAAAAGGAAGCUUUCUGCAAUAAUGAGAACCAGUCAACACAAACACAGGUCCAACUACAGACUGCCCUGGAUGAAGCACAGAAAAAACUUGUGGAAAUGGAAGAGGAGCGGUCCAACCAAAUCAAGACUAUGUCCAUCAUGAAGGCCACGCUCACUGAAACACAGGAAGCCUUCAACAAAGUGCAAGCCACAAUUCAGGAGCAGAAGCAGGAGAAGGAGAAAGAGAAGGAGCAAAAGAGGGAGAAGGAGAAGAGGCAGAAGCAGGGGAAGGAGGAAGAGAAGGAGGAGAAGAAGGAGAAGGAGAAGGAGGAAGCAAAUGAGAAGGAGGAGAAGAAGGAGAAGGAGCAAAAGAAGGAGAAGAGGCACAAGCAGGGGAAGGAGGAAGAGAAGGAGAAGGAGAAGAAGAAGAAGAGGAGGCAUAAGAAAGACAAGGAGCAAAAGAAGGAGAAGGCAGCUUCUAAUGACAACCCGAUAAAGAAAUGGUUCAAAAACCUGUUUAGAACCAAAAGAACAUGAGGAUGAUGUUGCAGAUGGAUGAUGUGAACAGUAACUGGUGUAACAACGUGACAGUGAUCCUUCAGCACUGCUCUCCUCAGAACAACCAGAAUAUCGGUGCAUGUUUGUGUCAAACUUACAUGUCCUGAUGUCAUUCCAUUCAUCUGAAUUUGGACCGAGG
rnacentral:lncRNA from 1 species